rnacentral:sRNA from 1 species
CAGGGGAUUGCAGUGGCAAAGCUAGGCUAGGUCUUGGAGGCUGGUGUAAGACUUCUAGGACGUGGAUCAUGUAAGCAGUAGAUGAGAAAAUGAAGUAAGAGGUAUAGAGCAAUAACAAUAAAAGUCAAUGAUUUCAUUUUACAAAAAAAGUUAUUGUGUAGUACUCAGAUAUUUUUAAAAGCAAGUAUUAUUAUGACUAAAGUAUAUUAUACUUCUAAAUUAUUAUGAUUCUCAUCUAAUUUCAAGCCACACAUAGGAGCCAUUUGAAAGCAUUUUGUAUUACAACCUAUCAACAAAAAUCAACUAAUAGUUUUAUAAUGUGAAAAGGUUUACCCCAUGGGGUAUUAAAAUUUUUAUCUGCAAGUAUUUCUAUUGUUGUGAGACUUUAGGACAAGACAACAUUUGGUAUUAACAUAGAAUAUUCUAUGGCUUUUUUAGCUUUAAAGUUCAUUACUCUAAAAUAAAGUACACGUGGUAUUUUUUUCUUCCUAGUGUUCUCUUAUUAUAUGUAGAGUAUUUUCGGUUGUUAUUUUUAAUGUAUACAUUAUUUUUAUUAAGUCAUUUGGUAAAAGAUAAGAUAUAUACUAAUAGACCCUUACUUUUCUCCUAAUUUAAUUAUUUCAAGUCAAGCAAAAUUGGGCACUUCUCUUUCAGGAAAAAAAAAAUAUUGAGCAUGAUUUUGAGGCAAAACUGAUUAUUUACAGCAUCUUUUCUCUAAUAGACUAACGUUUAUGAUGGAUCUUAUUUCAAAGUUGAUUAUUCUCAAAGAAAAGUGGAGAUAUUAGGAUUUCCAAGUAAAUUGCAUUGUUUUAAAAAGUACUUUAAUGCAUUGUUGAC